UACGGGGGGGGCAAGCGUUGUUCGGAAUUACUGGGCGUAAAGGGCUCGUAGGCGGCCAACUAAGUCCGACGUGAAAUCCCCAGGCUUAACCUGGGAACUGCGUCGGAUACUGGAUGGCUUGAAUUCGGGAGAGGGAUGCAGAAUUCCAGGUGUAGCGGUGAAAUGCGUAGAUAUCUGGAGGAAUACCGGUGGCGAAGGCGGCAUCCUGGACCGAGAUUGACACUGAUGAGCGAAAGCUAGGGGAGCAAACGGG
rnacentral:rRNA from 1 species